rnacentral:lncRNA from 1 species
AGAAGGGCAGCGAGGGGCCAGCGGAAAUCUAGCCCAGGAGAUGGAGGUGUGAAGACACAGAGUGAAUGAACCGCGAGCCGAGGCAGGGCCCCUUGUGAGGAGAACAAAGGACAGAGGGCGUGGUGCAGCAAGGCCUGGCAGAGAAGAGGACUAUCUUCCUUCCCAGCCAUUCACCAGAGAAACAUCAAAGCUAUCAUGAGGUAAACAGCUUCCUCUGCACAUGCUCCCAUCAUCAUGUGCUGCCUCACCACAGGCCCCAAAACAACAGGACCAACUGACCAUGGACUGAACCUCUGACACUGUGAGCCGAAUUAACCUCUUUAUAAAUUAUUUCAGGUAUUUUGUCACAGUGAUGGAAAGCUGAUUAACACAAAUUUGAAUUUGUGUAAGAAACCUAAUUACCAAAUAUUUAGUGACUUAAAAGACUGAAAACUUACUAUUUUAAGAUUUUGGUGGUCAGAAGUCUGACAUGUGUCUCACUGGACUAAAAUAAAGAUGUUGACAGGG